GCCUGGGUGGCUCAGUCGUUUAAGUGUCCGACUUCAGCUCAGGUCAUGAUCUCAUGGUUUGUGGGUUCGAGCCCCACGUCAGGCU
rfam:Felis catus isolate Cinnamon breed Abyssinian chromosome D4, whole genome shotgun sequence.